GAUGAACGCUGGCGGCGUGCCUAAUACAUGCAAGUCGAGCGAACAGACGAGGAGCUUGCUCCUCUGACGUUAGCGGCGGACGGGUGAGUAACACGUGGAUAACCUACCUAUAAGACUGGGAUAACUUCGGGAAACCGGAGCUAAUACCGGAUAAUAUAUUGAACCGCAUGGUUCAAUAGUGAAAGACGGUUUUGCUGUCACUUAUAGAUGGAUCCGCGCCGCAUUAGCUAGUUGGUAAGGUAACGGCUUACCAAGGCAACAAUGCGUAGCCGACCUGGGAGGGUGAUCGGCCACACUGGAACUGAGACACGGUCCAGACUCCUACGGGAGGCAGCAGUAGGGAAUCUUCCGCAAAGGGCGAAAGCCUGACGGAGCAACGCCGCGUGGGUGAUGAAGGUCUUCGGAUCGUAAAACUCUGUUAUUAGGGAAGAACAAAUGUGUAAGUAACUAUGCACGUCUUGACGGUACCUAAUCAGAAAGCCACGGCUAACUACGUG
rnacentral:rRNA from 1 species